rnacentral:rRNA from 1 species
GAUGAACGCUGGCGGCGUGCCUAAUACAUGCAAGUCGAGCGAACGGACGAGAAGCUUGCUUCUCUGAUGUUAGCGGCGGACGGGUGAGUAACACGUGGAUAACCUACCUAUAAGACUGGGAUAACUUCGGGAAACCGGAGCUAAUACCGGAUAAUAUUUUGAACCGCAUGGUUCAAAAGUGGAAGACGGACUUGCUGUCACUUAUAGAUGGAUCCGCGCUGCAUUAGCUAGUUGGUAAGGUAACGGCUUACCAAGGCAACGAUGCAUAGCCGACCUGAGAGGGUGAUCGGCCACACUGGAACUGAGACACGGUCCAGACUCCUACGGGAGGCAGCAGUAGGGAAUCUUCCGCAAUGGGCGAAAGCCUGACGGAGCAACGCCGCGUGAGUGAUGAAGGUCUUCGGAUCGUAAAACUCUGUUAUUAGGGAAGAACAUAUGUGUAAGUAACUGUGCACAUCUUGACGGUACCUAAUCAGAAAGCCACGGCUAACUACGU